rnacentral:rRNA from 1 species
GACGAACGCUGGCGGCGUGCCUAACACAUGCAAGUCGAACGGAAAGGCCCUGCUCUUGUGGGGUGCUCGAGUGGCGAACGGGUGAGUAACACGCGAGUAACCUGCCCUUGACUUUCGGAUAACAUCAGGAAACUGGGGCUAAUAUCGGAUAGGAUCUCCUGCUCCAUGGUGGGGGUUGGAAAGUUUCGGCGGUUGGGGAUGGACUCGCGGCUUAUCAGCUUGUUGGUGGGGUAGUUGCUUACCAAGGCUUUGACGGGUAGCCGGCCUUGGAGGGUUACCGGCCACAUGGGGACUGAGGUACGGACCAGACUCCAACGGGAGGCAGCAGUGGGAAGUAUGACACAGUGGGCGGGAGCCUGUUGCAGAGACGCCGGGUGCGGAAUGACGGCCUUCGGGUUGUAAACCGCUUUCGCCUGUGACGAAGCGUGAUUGACGGUAAUGGGUAAAGAAGCACCGGCUAACUACGUG